rnacentral:snRNA from 1 species
ACUUGCUUUUUGGUUAAUUAACA